AAACUUGUCCUGACAAAGAUAAGACGAUUUUCUAAUGUAAGAGUGAUGCCAUACGAGAAAGAAAGGCGGACAUGGAAAGAAAUGAAGAAAGGAAAUACAAUCAUCUGGCCAGUUGAAGAUGUGUGUCCUCUGGCAUCAUUUCAAGAGAGCAUAACUGCUGAGAUGAAAAUGAGGAAAAAAACCCAAAGGAAUGAGAG